GGACAGACAGACAGUUGGUAGGAGAUAGUGACUAGAUACCACAUGGCUGGCUGGCUGGCUGGCUGGCUGGACGGACAGACAGACAGACAGACAGACAGACAGACAGACAGACAGACAGACAGACAGACAGACAGACAGACAGACAGAUGGUAGGAGAUAGUGUCUAGAUACCACAUGGCAAACAGACAGACAGACAGACAGUUGGUAGGAGAUAGUGUCUAGAUACCACAGGGCCACAGGGUGCACAGACAGAUAUGCCAGUUGGUAGGAAAUAGAUAGACAGUGCCUAGAUACCUUCUCUAAAGCCAGGAACACAUUUAGAAUGAGUCCCAAAUGGCACCCUAUUCUCAUAGGGCCCUGGUCAAAGUAGUGCACUAUAAACGGAAUAGGCUGCCAUUUGAGAUGCAUUCUUAGCCUUUUUUUUUUAAAAAAAAUUUAAGUUUCUGUCAAAUCUGAGGUGUCAAUUUGGGUUUUAUCUCACCACUUGAGGUUUGAAAACGUCUGACAAUCGUAGAUGUUUGUGAAGCACUGCUUUGAGACAUGAGUGUUAUUAACAUUUGAUACAGGUUCAAAGUUGAAAUGUACCUGCAGGAAAUCAACUAUAUAUGUAUCUAAUAUAUGAGGAAGUCAAACUCAAUAGGACUUUUCUAUUGAGAAAAUGAGUCAAUGAUAGAUUAUUAUUAUUAGCUUAUCAGCAUCAUGUACUAUCACUGAGGACCUAUAAGAAGCAGUUUCACCUUUGUCCCGCCCCCUUCUCACCAGUAACACACCUUUUCUCGUAUGAUUGACACUGCAGCUAUCCACUCCCAACACUCCAUCCACAAUGUUAAAGCCCAACACUAAUUACAAGAGGACUGGGGUCCGUUCAAGAGGGGGCGAUGUUCUGACAAAAUGUUUCUGAUUUAGAAAUGAGACGAGUGGACAUGAUUCUGUCCCAGAGGCCCAGUCUAUUCUACACAAGGUGGAAGUGUUCAUUAGGUACCGAACGGAACAACAACAGGCUGCAACGGGAAGAGACUACCUGGACUCCAAUAAGAAGCGUUUCUAAAAACGUUUUCAGUUGCAUGUCCUAAUGAGUACAACCCUGUCAACUAACGUGUCCGUUUGUUCCAUAGAAAUACAAUGGUGCGUUGUCAGGUAUGCAAUGUCAAUGCCCUAUCAAACCUACAUGGUUGAAUGAAUGUGUUGUUCCAUAGAAAUACAAUGGUGCGUUGUCAGGUAUGCAAUGUCAAUGCCCUAUCAAACCUACAUGGUUGAAUGAAUGUGUUGUUCCAUACCAUGUUGCUGUAGAAGGCGAUUUGACCCAUUAUGUUGUUGUCUGAAAGCUUCUAAUGGAGAAGGUUGUUUGGUAACACGUUACGUAAAAGCCAACUGGUACAAUGCCUUAUAACUUGUUAUAAGCAUGUAUGCACCUUUUAUAAAAGUGUCACAGGCACUAUAUGUUCAUUCACUUUCUAUGGAAUGAUUGUCACUACUCCACUCCAGACAUAUAGUGCUCCUUCAUCAUGGGGAACACUCCUUCAUCAUGGGGAACACUCCUUCAUCAUGGGGAACACUCCUUCAUCAUGGGGAACACUCCUUCAUCAUGGGGAACACUCCUUCAUCAUGGGGAACACUCCUUCAUCAUGGGGAACACUCCUUCAUCAUGGGGAACACUCCUUCAUCAUGGGGAACACUCCUUCAUCAUGGGGAACACUCCUUCAUCAUGGGGAACACUCCUUCAUCAUGGGGAACACUCCUUCAUCAUGGGGAACACUCCUUCAUCAUGGGGAACACUCCUUCAUCAUGGGGAACACCGACCAGUAUAAUGCCUUAAACUUGCUAUAAGCUUAUGUGAGCAUAUUAUAAAGUGAAUCAUCUGAUUCUAUGGGA